rnacentral:rRNA from 1 species
AGUGAACGCUAGCGGUAGGCCUAACACAUGCAAGUCGAACGGCAGCACAGAGGAGCUUGCUCCUUGGGUGGCGAGUGGCGGACGGGUGAGGAAUACAUCGGAAUCUACUCUGUCGUGGGGGAUAACGUAGGGAAACUUACGCUAAUACCGCAUACGACCUACGGGUGGAAGCAGGGGACCUUCGGGCCUUGCGCGAUUGAAUGAGCCGAUGUCGGAUUAGCUAGUUGGCGGGGUAAAGGCCCACCAAGGCGACGAUCCGUAGCUGGUCUGAGAGGAUGAUCAGCCACACUGGAACUGAGACACGGUCCAGACUCCUACGGGAGGCAGCAGUGGGGAAUAUUGGACAAUGGACGCAAGCCUGAUCCAGCCAUACCGCGUGGGUGAAGAAGGCCUUCGGGUUGUAAAGCCCUUUUGUUGGGAAAGAAAUCCAGCUGGCUAAUACCCGGUUGGGAUGACGGUACCCAAAGAAUAAGCACCGGCUAACUUCGUGCCAGCCGCCGCCGUAA